UCAGUCUCUCCUGAUCCCAGUCAUGUUUCUGUGAGAAGUGACAGCUCCAUGGGCAGACUUAUUGACUUCAGUGACAAACAACAAAGGUCUCCUGACAGAGAAGGAUCAGUCUCUCCUGAACCCAGUCAUGUUUCUGUGAGAAGUGACAGCUCCAUGGGCAGACUUAUCGACUUCAGUGACAAACAACAAAGGUCUCCUGACAGAGAAGGAUCAGUCUCUCCUGAACCCAGUCAUGUUUCUGUGAGAAGUGACAGCUCCAUGGGCAGACUUAUCGACUUCAGUGACAAACAACAAA